AUUGAACGCUGGCGGCAGGCUUAACACAUGCAAGUCGAGCGAGCGGCGGACGGGUGAGUAAUGUCUGGGAAACUGCCUGAUGGAGGGGGAUAACUACUGGAAACGGUAGCUAAUACCGCAUACCAUCGGAUGUGCCCAGAUGGGAUUAGCUAGUAGGGGGGGUAACGGCUCACCUAGGCGACGAUCCCUAGCGGGGCUGAGAGGAUGACCAGCCAAACGGGAACUGAGACACGGGCCAGACUCCUACGGGAGGCAUCAGGGGGGAAUAUGGCACAAUGGGCGAAAGCCCUAUGCAGCCAUGCCGCGUGUAUGAAGAAGGCCUUCGGGUUGUAAAGUACUUUCAGCGAGGAGGCGUUACUCGCAGAAGAAGCACCGGCUAACUCCGUGCCAGCAGCCGCGGUAAUAC
rnacentral:rRNA from 1 species